GGGGGCGAAAAGGUUUCGACGGGAUUAUCGAGGCUGAAGAUGCGUGCCGAGGACCAUUCCCUCGUUAAAAAGAUGGACCUAAACGUAACUGCUGAUAACCAAUUGGCACUUGCUGCUUAAGGAGACUUAAGUAGCCGUUCCCUCCGCUGAUGCCUGUGCGGCGGAUGUGGGGCGUCGACUAAUAGGCUAGCCGAUGGCAGCCGUCCGGGAGCCGCCGGCGAAACUCACCGGUCUAGUCGCCAGGCACUCUUGCCGGUUCUCGAUGUCGGGCGGCGAACCCAAACAGGAACCGGAUACGCACGUAGAUUCUUCUCGCCAAGUAAUUUCGGACGCGGGUUCGAUUCCCGCCGCCUCCACCA
rnacentral:tmRNA from 1 species